CCUCCUUAGAUUUGAUCCAAGGAAAAGUAACACUUUAGAUGAGUUUCCUUGAAAGAUAUCAAGGAAAUAAGCAUCAUAAGAUAAUAGAUUUCUCCAUAAGGAGAAGAACGAACUUAAAUAAGAUUUAGUUCGUUGGAUAUUAUCAAUUACCCAUAUAUAGGAUAUAUACUUCUAAAACAAUAUGAUUGUCAAUUAGAAGAUCUUCCAAAAUUUU
rnacentral:lncRNA from 1 species